UGUGUGUGUGUGUGUGUGUGUGUAAAGUUAGAAUAAUACGGAGAAGAUUAGCAUGUCUCCUGUGCAAAAGUGACUUGUAAAUUUGUGAAACAUUUUGUAUUUUU